rnacentral:rRNA from 1 species
UACGUAGGGGGCAAGCGUUGUCCGGAAUCAUUGGGCGUAAAGAGCGUGUAGGCGGUUCGGUAAGUCUGCUGUGAAAGUCCAGGGCUCAACCCUGGAAAGCCGGUGGAUACUGUCGGACUAGAGUGCGGAAGAGGCGAGUGGAAUUCCCGGUGUAGCGGUGAAAUGCGCAGAUAUCGGGAGGAACACCAAUUGCGAAGGCAGCUCGCUGGGACGUGACUGACGCUGAGGCGCGAAAGCGUGGGGAGCAAACAGG